rnacentral:rRNA from 1 species
CCUGGCUUAGGAUGAAGCUGGCGGCGUGCUUAAUACAUGCAAGUCGAACGCUGAAGCUGACUAGCUUGCAGUUAGUGGAUGAGUGGCGAACGGGUGAGUAAUACGUAGGUAACCUGCCCUAAAGUGGGGGAUAGCAGUUGGAAACGACUAUAAUACCCCAUAGGUAAUUGAAUGGCAUCUUUCAAUUAUUAAAGACGCGUUUGCGUCGCUGUAGGAUGGACUUACGGUGCAUCAGCUUGUUGGUGAGGUAACGGCUCACCAAGGCGAUGAUGCAUAGCCGGCCUGAGAGGGUGAACGGCCACAUUGGGACUGAGACACGGCCCAGACUCCUACGGGAGGCAGCAGUAAGGAAUUUUCGGCAAUGGGCGAAAGCCUGACCGAGCAACGCCGCGUGAGUGAAUGAAGGUCUUCGGAUCGUAAAGCUCUGUUGUAAAGGAAGAACUGAUACUUGAGGAAAUGCUCGUAUCUUGACGGUACUUUACUAGAAAGUCACGGCUUACUACGUGCCAGCCGCCGC